rnacentral:sRNA from 2 species
GAAUACGUAUGGCCGAACUCCGGCGCUCUGCGCCGGGGGCGGGGGACCCGAUUACUUGGGGUGAAUCUCCGAUCUUUCGGAGUAGGCGAUCUCCUUACGCCGAACCCGUCAGCUAACCCCGUAGGCACUGGGGAGAGGAUAG